rnacentral:rRNA from 1 species
CCUACGGGCGGCAGCAGUGGGGAAUAUUGGGCAAUGGGCGCGAGCCUGACCCAGCCACGCCGCGUGAAGGAAGAAGGCUUUCCGGUUUGAAACUUCUUUUCUCAGGGACGAAACGAGUGGCGGUACCUGAGGAAUAAGCCAAGGCUAACUACGUGCCAGCAGCCGCUGUAAGACGUAGGUCGCGAGCGUUAUCCGGAUUUGCUGGGUGUAAAGGGCGUGUAGGCGGGGACGUAAGUCAGAUGUGAAAACCACGGGCUCAACCUGUGGACUGCAUUUGAUACUGUGUUUCUUGAGUACUGGAGAGGCAGACGGAAUUCCUGGUGUAGCGGUGAAAUGCGUAGAUAUUAGGAGGAACACCAGUGGCGAAGGCGGUCUGCUGGACAGCAACUGACGUUGAGGCGCGAAAGCGUGGGGAGCAAACAGGAUUAGAUACCCUGGUAGUC